rnacentral:piRNA from 1 species
UGGACUUCUGAGUGGGGUUUCCUAAAAGAGAA